GACGAACGCUGGCGGCGUGCUUAACACAUGCAAGUCGAACGGAAAGGCCCUGCUUUUGUGGGGUGCUCGAGUGGCGAACGGGUGAGUAACACGUUAGUAACCUGCCCUUGACUUUGGGAUAACUUCAGGAAACUGGGGCUACUACCGGAUAGGAGCUCCUGCUGCAUGGUGGGGGUUGGAAAGUUUCGGCGGUUGGGGAUGGACUCGCGGCUUAUCAGCUUGUUGGUGGGGUAGUGGCUUACCAAGGCUUUGACGGGUAGCCGGCCUGAGAGGGUGACCGGCCACAUUGGGACUGAGAUACGGCCCAGACUCCUACGGGAGGCAGCAGUGGGGAAUAUUGCACAAUGGGCGGAAGCCUGAUGCAGCAACGCCGCGUGCGGGAUGACGGCCUUCGGGUUGUAAACCGCUUUCGCCUGUGACGAAGCGUGAGUGACGGUAAUGGGUAAAGAAGCACCGGCUAACUACGUG
rnacentral:rRNA from 1 species